AUCUACCUCUUUGAUCGGAAGGGGUUCCUUCCGAUCAACGAGGUACAUCCUCGUUGACUGGAAGGAAACUCUUCCGGUCAACGAGGUAGAU
rnacentral:miRNA from 1 species